CUAUUUUGGCAGAUUAGUGCAAUAAAUUUAGAAUUUAUUUAUAUAAUGUAAAUUAUAGAUAGUA
rnacentral:tRNA from 1 species